CACGUAGGGUGCGAGCGUUGUCCGGAAUUAUUGGGCGUAAAGAGCUCGUAGGCGGUGUGUCACGUCGGCCGUGAAAACCUGCAGCUUAACUGUGGGCGUGCGGUCGAUACGGGCAUCACUGGAGUUCGGCAGGGGAGACUGGAAUUCCUGGUGUAGCGGUGAAAUGCGCAGAUAUCAGGAGGAACACCAGUGGCGAAGGCGGGUCUCUGGACAGUUCCUGACGCUGAGGCACGAAGGCCAGGGGAGCAAACGGG
rnacentral:rRNA from 1 species